rnacentral:rRNA from 1 species
AGCCUGAUGCGCCAUGCCGCGUGUAUGAAGAAGGCCUUCGGGUUGUAAAGUACUUUCAGUUGUGAGGAAGGUUUCGUAGUUAAUAACUGCGUUGCUUGACGUUAGCAACAGAAGAAGCACCGGCUAACUCCGUGCCAGCAGCCGCGGUAAUACGGAGGGUGCGAGCGUUAAUCGGAAUUACUGGGCGUAAAGCGCAUGCAGGUGGUUUGUUAAGUCAGAUGUGAAAGCCCGGGGCUCAACCUCGGAAGGUCAUUUGAAACUGGCAAACUAGAGUACUGUAGAGGGGGGUAGAAUUUCAGGUGUAGCGGUGAAAUGCGUAGAGAUCUGAAGGAAUACCAGUGGCGAAGGCGGCCCCCUGGACAGAUACUGACACUCAGAUGCGAAAGCGUGGGGAGCAAACAGGAUUAGAUACCCUGGUAGUCCACGCCGUAAACGAUGUCUACUUGGAGGUUGUGGCCUUGAGCCGUGGCUUUCGGAGCUAACGCGUUAAGUAGACCGCCUGGGGAGUACGGUCGCAAGAUUAAAACUCAAAUGAAUUGACGGGGGCCCGCACAAGCGGUGGAGCAUGUGGUUUAAUUCGAUGCAACGCGAAGAACCUUACCUACUCUUGACAUCCAGAGAAUUUUCCAGAGAUGGAUUAGUGCCUUCGGGAACUCUGAGACAGGUGCUGCAUGGCUGUCGUCAGCUCGUGUUGUGAAAUGUUGGGUUAAGUCCCGCAACGAGCGCAACCCUUAUCCUUGUUUGCCAGCACGUAAUGGUGGGAACUCCAGGGAGACUGCCGGUGAUAAACCGGAGGAAGGUGGGGACGACGUCAAGUCAUCAUGGCCCUUACGAGUAGGGCUACACACGUGCUACAAUGGCGCAUACAGAGGGCAGCGAACUUGCGAAAGUAAGCGAAUCCCAAAAAGUGCGUCGUAGUCCGGAUUGGAGUCUGCAACUCGACUCCAUGAAGUCGGAAUCGCUAGUAAUCGUGGAUCAGAAUGCCACGGUGAAUACGUUCCCGGGCCUUGUACACACCGCCCGUCACACCAUGGGAGUGGGCUGCAAAAGAAGUAGGUAGUUUAACCUUCGGGAGGACGCUUACCACUUUGUGGUCAUGACUGGGUGAUCGUU